AUUGAACGCUGGCGGCAUGCUUUACACAUGCAAGUCGAACGGUAACAGGUUAAGCUGACGAGUGGCGAACGGGUGAGUAAUGCAUCGGAACGUGCCCGAUCGUGGGGGAUAACGCAGCGAAAGCUGCGCUAAUUCCGCAUACGAUCUGAGGAUGAAAGCGGGGGACCGUAAGGCCUCGCGCGAUCGGAGCGGCCGAUGUCAGAUUAGGUAGUUGGUGGGGUAAAGGCUCACCAAGCCGACGAUCUGUAGCUGGUCUGAGAGGACGACCAGCCACACUGGGACUGAGACACGGCCCAGACUCCUACGGGAGGCAGCAGUGGGGAAUUUUGGACAAUGGGCGAAAGCCUGAUCCAGCAAUGCCGAGUGCAGGAAGAAGGCCUUCGGGUUGUAAACUGCUUUUGUACGGAGCGAAAAGGCUCUCUCUAAUACAGGGGGCUCAUGACGGUACCGUAAGAAUAAGCACCGGCUAACUACGUGCCAGCCGCCGCGGUAA
rnacentral:rRNA from 1 species